AUUGAACGCUGGCGGCAGGCCUAACACAUGCAAGUCGAGCGGAUGAAGAGAGCUUGCUCUCUGAUUUAGCGGCGGACGGGUGAGUAAUGCCUAGGAAUCUGCCUGGUAGUGGGGGAUAACGUUCCGAAAGGAACGCUAAUACCGCAUACGUCCUACGGGAGAAAGCAGGGGACCUUCGGGCCUUGCGCUAUCAGAUGAGCCUAGGUCGGAUUAGCUAGUUGGUGGGGUAAUGGCUCACCAAGGCGACGAUCCGUAACUGGUCUGAGAGGAUGAUCCGUCAAACUGGAACUGGGACACGGUCCAGACUCCUACGGGAGGCAGCAGUGGGGAAUAUUGGACAAUGGGCGAAAGCCUGAUCCAGCCAUGCCGCGUGUGUGAAGAAGGUUUUCGGAUUGUAAAGCACUUUAAGUUGGGAGGAAGGGCAGUAAGUUAAUACCUUGCUGUUUUGACGUUACCGACAGAAUAAGCACCGGCUAACUUCGUGCCAGCCGCCGCAGUAAUAC
rnacentral:rRNA from 1 species